rnacentral:rRNA from 1 species
GAUGAACGCUGGCGGCGUGCCUAAUACAUGCAAGUCGAGCGAACAGACGAGGAGCUUGCUCCUCUGACGUUAGCGGCGGACGGGUGAGUAACACGUGGAUAACCUACCUAUAAGACUGGGAUAACUUCGGGAAACCGGAGCUAAUACCGGAUAAUAUAUUGAACCGCAUGGUUCAAUAGUGAAAGACGGUUUUGCUGUCACUUAUGGAUGGAUCCGCGCCGCAUUAGCUAGUUGGUAAGGUAACGGCUUACCAAGGCAACGAUGCGUAGCCGACCUGAGAGGGUGAUCGGCCACACUGGAACUUAGACACGGUCCAGACUCCUACGGGAGGCAGCAGUAGGGAAUCUUCCGCAAUGGGCGAAAGCCUGACGGAGCAACGCCGCGUGAGUGAUGAAGGUCUUCGGAUCGUAAAACUCUGUUAUUAGGGAAGAACAAAUGUGUAAGUAACUAUGCACGUCUUGACGGUACCUAAUCAGAAAGCCACGGCUAACUACGUG